GCCAAACAGCUAGCUCAACUAUCAGAACUAAAUUAACAACAUUCAUAACUUUGUUUAAACCUAAAAUACUAAACUAAAACAUUCUCCUGCCUUAGUAUGGGCGACAGAAAAGGCACCUAGAAGCAAUAGAAAAAGUACCGCAAGGGAAAGCUGAAAGAGAAAUGAAAUAAAUCAUUUAAGCCCAAAAAAGCAGAGAUUAAAUCUCGUACCUUUUGCAUCAUGAUUUAGCCAGUACACCUGAGCAAAGAGAACUUUAGUUCAAGACCCCGAAACCAAGUGAGCUACCCCGAGACAGUCUAUUAUAGGACCAACCCGUCUCUGUGGCAAAAGAGUGGGAAGAUCUCCGGGUAGAGGUGACAGACCUACCGAACUUGGUGAUAGCUGGUUGCCUAGGAAAUGGAUAGAAGUUCAGCCUCGUAUUCCUCAAUUCACCCAAACACCGUUCUAUUAUGAACCCGAGAAAUAUAUGAGAGUUAAUCAAAGGAGGUACAGCUCCUUUGAACCAGGAUACAACCUGCCCAGGAGGCUAAGGAUCACAUUCAACAAGAUUUCUGCUUCAGUGGGCCUAAAAGCAGCCACCCGAAUAGAAAGCGUUCAAAGCUCAGGCAGACAAAGACAUCUAUUAAUUCUGACUAAUAUUAUCCUAAGCCCCUCCCCCCUACUAGGCCGUUCCAUGCCAACAUGGAAGUGACCCUGCUAAAAUGAGUAAUAAGAAGGCACCCCCUUCUCCUAGCCCACGUGUAAGUCAGCUCGGACCCCCCACUGACAAUUAACGAACCCAAUAUAAGAGGGCACUGUGAUUUUUAAAAAACCCAAGAAAACCCCACAUCAUAAUUAUCGUUAAACCCACACUGGAGUGCUUAAAAGGAAAGACUAAAAGAGAGGGAAGGAACUCGGCAAACACAAGCCUCGCCUGUUUACCAAAAACAUCGCCUCUUGCAAAAAUCAACGUAUAAGAGGUCCUACCUGCCCAGUGACAACUAGUUAAACGGCCGCGGUAUUUUGACCGUGCUAAGGUAGCGCAAUCACUUGUCUUUUAAAUGAAGACCUGUAUGAAUGGUGGAACGAGGGCUUAACUGUCUCCCCCCCGUCCGGUCAAUGAAAUUGAUCUGCCCGUGCAGAAGCGGACAUAAAAAUACAAGACGAGAAGACCCUUUGGAGCUUAAGACAAAAAGUCAACCGUGUCAAAAACUUAAAUAAAAUAAAAUUAAACAAAACGGCAACUGGCCUACGUCUUCGGUUGGGGCGACCGCGGGGGAAAACAAAGCCCCCACGUGGACUGGGACAACCUCCUAAAACCAAGAGAGACAUCUCUAAGCUACAGAACAUCUGACCAAAAGAUCCGGCCUACCGGCCGAUCAACGAACCAAGUUACCCUAGGGAUAACAGCGCAAUCCCCUCCAAGAGUUCAUAUCGACGAGAGGGUUUACGACCUCGAUGUUGGAUCAGGACAUCCUAAUGGUGCAGCCGCUAUUAAGGGUUCGUUUGUUCAACGAUUAAAGUCCUACGUGAUCUGAGUUCAGACCGGAGCAAUCCAGGUCAGUUUCUAUCUGUAAAGCCACUCUUCCUAGUACGAAAGGACCGGAAAAGUGAGGCCCAUGCUCUAGGUACGCCUCAUUCUAAUUUAAUGAAAUCAACUAAAUUAAAUAAAAGAAAGCACCCAAUAACCCAAAAUAAGGGCCU
rnacentral:rRNA from 1 species